UACAGAGGUCUCAAGCGUUGUUCGGAUUCAUUGGGCGUAAAGGGUGCGUAGGUGGCAUGGUCAGUCGGAUGUGAAAUCCCGGGGCUCAACCCCGGAACUGCAUUCGAUACUGCCGCGCUAGAGUACUGGAGAGGAGAUUGGAAUUUACGGUGUAGCAGUGAAAUGCGUAGAUAAUCGUAAGGAAGACCAGUGGCGAAGGCGGAUCUCUGGACAGUUCCUGACACUGAGGCACGAAGGCCAGGGGAGCAAACGGG
rnacentral:rRNA from 1 species